rnacentral:rRNA from 1 species
AUUGAACGCUGGCGGCAGGCUUAACACAUGCAAGUCGAGCGGAGUGAUGGUGCUUGCACUAUCACUUAGCGGCGGACGGGUGAGUAAUGCUUAGGAAUCUGCCUAUUAGUGGGGGACAACAUCUCGAAAGGGAUGCUAAUACCGCAUACGCCCUACGGGAGAAAGCAGGGGAUCACUUGUGACCUUGCGCUAAUAGAUGAGCCUAAGUCGGAUUAGCUAGUUGGUGGGGUAAAGGCCUACCAAGGCGACGAUCUGUAGCGGGUCUGAGAGGAUGGUCCGCCGGACUGGGACUGAGACACGGCACAGACUCCUACGGGAGGCAGCAGUGGGGAAUAUUGGACAAUGGGGGGAACCCUGAUCCAGCCAUGCCGCGUGUGUGAAGAAGGCCUUAUGGUUGUAAAGCACUUUAAGCGAGGAGGAGGCUCUUUUGGUUAAUACCCAAGAUGAGUGGACGUUACUCGCAGAAUAAGCACCGGCUAACUCUGUGCCAGCAGCCGCAGUAA